rnacentral:sRNA from 1 species
AUGUACCACUCGUACACUCCGGUUCUGAGCGCGCCGUCCGCACCCACCUGACGACUGCUCGCUACGUUCAGGUCGCC